GAGGGGCUCGCGGCCUAUCAGCUAGUUGGUGAGGUAACGGCCCACCAAGGCGAUGACGGGUAGCUGGUCUGAGAGGACGACCAGCCACACGGGGACUGAGACACGGCCCCGACUCCUACGGGAGGCAGCAGUGGGGAAUUGUUCGCAAUGGGCGCAAGCCUGACGACGCAACGCCGCGUGGAGGACGAAGAUCUUCGGGUCGUAAACUCCUUUCGAUCGGGAAGAACGGCUUCCGGUCUAACACACCGGUGAGAGUGACGGUACCGAGAGAAGAAGCCCCGGCUAACUCCGUGCCAGCAGCCGCGGUAAUACGGGGGGGGCAAGCGUUGUUCGGAAUUACUGGGCGUAAAGGGCUCGUAGGCGGCCAACUAAGUCGGAUGUGAAAUCCCCAGGCUUAACUUGGGAAUUGCAUCCGAUACUGGAUGGCUUGAAUCCGGGAGAGGGAUGCGGAAUUCCAGGUGUAGCGGUGAAAUGCGUAGAUAUCUGGAGG
rnacentral:rRNA from 1 species